GUGCCAGCGGCCGCGGUAAUACCGGCAGACCGAGUGAUGGCCGAUCUUGUUGGGCCUAAAGCGUCCGUAGCUGGCCGCGCAAGUCCAUCGGGAAAUCCACCUGCUCAACAGGUGGGCGCCCGGUGGAAACUGUGCGGCUUGGGACCGGAAGGCGCGACGGGUACGUCCGGGGUAGGAGUGAAAUCCCGUAAUCCUGGACGGACCGCCGAUGGCGAAAGCACGUCGCGAGAACGGAUCCGACAGUGAGGGACGAAAGCCAGGGUCUCGAACCGGAUUAGAUACCCCAGUAGUCC
rnacentral:rRNA from 1 species